AAGAUUCUGGGAAUUUUACUAUCUAAUGGGAGAUAACAAAAAUGAAUAUAAAAUACACUCUCUAGUACUACUCUGUNGUCUCCAGGAUCGCGCCCUGGGCCAAAAGCAGGCGCCAAACCGCUGUGCCACCCCGGGAUCCCUGGGAAACUAUUUGAAUACAAGGGUCACUGAUAGUGUAUCUGAGGAUACAUGAUUUGAGCAGAGAUCUAACCGAAGUAACAAUACAAGUUAUAGAUAUUUUCUGGUAGAAGGUUUUUUACUGGAUGAAGGUUCUAGGAAAGAUCCUUAAAAGAGGGAGGGAUCAGCUUGUACAUGCCUUUUACCCUGCAGUGUUCACCUUUCCCCUUCCCCAGAACAUGAACUCAGUUCUGGAUAAUGAGAGGGAAGGUGUUGGAGGAGUUUGUCAAGGAGAUGAGACCUCUGGUUGACUUGUGAGCUUGAUUCAGCAAUGAGUCUCCUAUACCCUCGCCUCCCCUAGGAAUGUAUGGACUGCUCACUGUUCCCACCAUGGGAGCCCGUUUUCAAGGAUGCAGUCUUGUGAAAGCAAUGUGUUGUUGAGACCAUCUGGACUGAAUAAAUGACUGAACCUAACUUCUCUGCAGUUUUAGGAUUCUGGUGGGCAGGUGUGGAAAUCCAUCCAUCAUGCAGCUGCCUGAGACAAGCCUUGAAUCAAGUGCCCUUGCUUAUUAAACCUGCCACCUACCUGUGUGGANGCUGCCUGAGACAAGCCUUGAAUCAAGUGCCCUUGCUUAUUAAACCUGCCACCUCCCUGUGUGGUCUGUCUCUUUGUUCCUUCCUCAUCAGCUUGGAGCCAGUUUCAGAUUUCAUCCAGGAAGCUUCUGAAUUUCCAAACCAACUGAAGGAUGCCUUCAUGUUUUGUGCCGUAAUUCCUUUCACCAGUGAACAGCUUUAUACGAUUCAACUCACUCUAUUUGAAGUGAGAAAUGGAAACAAGUAGAGAAGCUGAGUUGAAGAGCCAAAGAAAUAUGAAAUAAAUACUUGUAAGUAAUUCA
rnacentral:lncRNA from 1 species